ACUUAAAUAGCUUAUGGAAAGCAUUACACUGAAGCUGUAAGGAAAACAUUUUUGUUUUUAGGUA
rnacentral:tRNA from 1 species